rnacentral:rRNA from 1 species
UACGAAGGGGGCUAGCGUUGCUCGGAAUCACUGGGCGUAAAGGGUGCGUAGGCGGGUCUUUAAGUCAGGGGUGAAAUCCUGGAGCUCAACUCCAGAACUGCCUUUGAUACUGAGGAUCUCGAGUCCGGGAGAGGUGAGUGGAACUGCGAGUGUAGAGGUGAAAUUCGUAGAUAUUCGCAAGAACACCAGUGGCGAAGGCGGCUCACUGGCCCGGUACUGACGCUGAGGCACGAAAGCGUGGGGAGCAAACAGG